GGGGGGUCUGAAAACCAGUCAGUAUCUGGUGUUAGAACACCUAUCCAAAGUGCCAGACGCCAUCGAAUGUGAGCAUUUGCCCACUCAAGUCGGUUACGACGACGAACUGCAGUCAGGUCAAAACCCGAUGAGGACGACGAGCAUGCAGAUGA